rnacentral:rRNA from 1 species
UACGUAGGGUGCAAGCGUUGUCCGGAAUUAUUGGGCGUAAAGAGCUUGUAGGCGGUUUGUCGCGUCUGCUGUGAAAUUUCGGGGCUCAACCCCGAACUUGCAGUGGGUACGGGCAGACUAGAGUGUGGUAGGGGAGACUGGAAUUCCUGGUGUAGCGGUGAAAUGACGCAGAGUAUCAGGAGGAACACCGGUGGCGAAGGCGGGUCUCUGGGCAGUAACUGACGCUGGAGGAGCGAAAGCGUGGGGAGCGAACAGG